rnacentral:rRNA from 1 species
GACGAACGCUGGCGGCGUGCUUAACACAUGCAAGUCGAACGGUAAGGCCCCUUCGGGGGUACACGAGUGGCGAACGGGUGAGUAACACGUGAGCAACCUGCCCUUGACUUUGGGAUACCAGCUGGAAACAGCUGCUAAUACCGGAUAUGACCUCUUCUCUCAUGGGUUGAGGUGGAAAGCUCCGGCGGUCAGGGAUGGGCUCGCGGCCUAUCAGCUUGUUGGUGAGGUAAUGGCUCACCAAGGCUUCGACGGGUAGCCGGCCUGAGAGGGCGACCGGCCACACUGGGACUGAGAUACGGCCCAGACUCCUACGGGAGGCAGCAGUGGGGAAUAUUGCACAAUGGGCGCAAGCCUGAUGCAGCAACGCCGCGUGCGGGAUGACGGCCUUCGGGUUGUAAACCGCUUUCAGUAGGGACGAAGCUAACGUGACGGUACCUACAGAAGAAGGACCGGCUAACUGCGUG